UGCCAGCCGCCGCGGUAAGACGGAGGGGGCUAGCGUUGUUCGGAACUACAGGGCGUAAAGCGCACGUAGGCGGAUUAGUAAGUUAGGGGUGAAAUCCCGGGGCUCAACCCCGGAACUGCCUCUAAUACUGCUAGUCUUGAGUUCGAGAGAGGCGAGUGGAAUUGCGAGUGUAGAGGUGAAAUUCGUAGAUAUUCGCAGGAACACCAGUGGCGAAGGCGGCUCGCUGGCUCGAUACUGACGCUGAGGCGCGAAAGCGUGGGGAGCAAACAGGAUUAGAUA
rnacentral:rRNA from 1 species